rnacentral:rRNA from 1 species
GAUGAACGCUGGCGGCGUGCCUAAUACAUGCAAGUCGAGCGAACGGACGAGAAGCUUGCUUCUCUGAUGUUAGCGGCGGACGGGUGAGUAACACGUGGAUAACCUACCUAUAAGACUGGGAUAACUUCGGGAAACCGUAGCUAAUACCGGAUAAUAUUUUGAACCGCAUGGUUCAAAAGUGAAAGACGGUCUUGCUGUCACUUAUAGAUGGAUCCGCGCUGCAUUAGCUAGUUGGUAAGGUAACGGCUUACCAAGGCAACGAUGCAUAGCCGACCUGAGAGGGUGAUCGGCCACACUGGAACUGAGACACGGUCCAGACUCCUACGGGAGGCAGCAGUAGGGAAUCGUCCGCAAUGGGCGAAAGCCUGACGGAGCAACGCCGCGGGAGUGAUGAAGGUCUUCGGAUCGUAAAACUCUGUUAUUAGGGAAGAACAUAUGUGUAAGUAACAGUGCACAUCUGGACGGUACCUAAUCAGAAAGCCACGGCUAACUACGUG